GGACCGGGAGGCUCACACCGCAUAUGGUUUGUACGUUCUCCAACUGGACAAGCAUGUACAAGCCAUAUGCGGUGUGAGCUUCUUGGCCG
rnacentral:miRNA from 1 species